rnacentral:rRNA from 1 species
GACGAACGCUGGCGGCGUGCUUAACACAUGCAAGUCGAACGGAAAGGCCCUGCUUUUGUGGGGUGCUCGAGUGGCGAACGGGUGAGUAACACGUGAGUAACCUGCCCUUGACUUUGGGAUAACUCUAGGAAACUGGGGCUAAUACCGGAUAGGAGCUCCCGCUGCAUGGUGUUGGUUGGAAAGUUUCGGCGGUUGGGGAUGGACUCGCGGCUUAUCAGCUUGUUGGUGGGGUAGUGGCUUACCAAGGCUUUGACGGGUAGCCGGCCUGAGAGGGGGACCGGCCACAUUGGGACUGAGGUACGGCCCAGACUCCUACGGGAGGCAGCAGUGGGGAAUAUUGCACAAUGGGUGGAAGCCUGAUGCAGCAACGCCGCGUGCGGGAUGACGGCCUUCGGGUUGUAAACCGCUUUCGCCUGUGACGAAGCGUGAGUGACGGUAAUGGGUAAAGAAGCACCGGCUAACUACGUG